CCUCCUCCUUUGCUUCUCAUUUUUGACUCUCCACUCCUUCCACCACUCACUCACACUCCUCUCCUACCUCUCCCCCACGAAAUCCUGCUCCACCUAGCUACCAUGGCCGGCCAUGGCCAUGGAAAGGCACCUAGAUGAAGCUCCCCUCCUCCAUCAAGCUCAUCCUCACCAUGAGAGCAUCCCUCUCACUCUCUUCUCCCCUAACCCUAGAUGAAUCCAGCCCUAUUUCUCCUUUCUCCUCUCACAAGAUUGGAUCUUGAUGCAGGUGCAUGUUGGUCCAAGCAUGGAGAAGGUUGAGCAAUCCUCAGAUCUGAAGCUCUUGACCCAAGGGAUAUUUGGUUUAUACCAUGGUGAUAACCGAGAGAGGCAAUUGCUAAGUUGUGAUGCACUCAUACCUUUACUAGAUGCGAACAAUUCCGGAGAAGAAGAAGAAGUGGAAUCGGAUGAGAAGAUUAUUUAUAUUGUUGGAAUUCUUAUAUUGAUGGAGUUGAACAAGUACAGGGACAAAUAA